UACGAAGGGGGCUAGCGUUGUUCGGAAUUACUGGGCGUAAAGGGCUCGUAGGCGGCCAACUAAGUCCGACGUGAAAUCCCAAGGCUUAACCUUGGAACUGCGUCGGAUACUGGAUGGCUUGAAUUCGGGAGAGGGAUGCAGAAUUCCAGGUGUAGCGGUGAAAUGCGUAGAUAUCUGGAGGAAUACCGGUGGCGAAGGCGGCAUCCUGGACCGACAUUGACGCUGAGGAGCGAAAGCUAGGGGAGCAAACAGG
rnacentral:rRNA from 1 species